GGACGGUUAGCUCAGUUGGUAGAGCACUGUGUUCACAUCGCAGGGGUCACUGGUUCGAAUCCAGUACCGUCCACCA
rnacentral:tRNA from 2 species